rnacentral:rRNA from 1 species
UACGGGGGGGGCAAGCGUUGUUCGGAAUUACUGGGCGUAAAGGGCGCGUAGGCGGCCUUCUAAGUCGAACGUGAGAUCCCCGGGCUCAACCCGGGAACUGCGUCCGAUACUGGAAGGCUUGAAUCCGGGAGAGGGAUGCGGAAUUCCAGGUGUAGCGGUGAAAUGCGUAGAUAUCUGGAGGAACACCGGUGGCGAAGACGGCAUCCUGGACCGGUAUUGACGCUGAGGCGCGAAAGCCAGGGGAGCAAACGGG